AAGCUAUUAGACUUCUAGGUGACAUGAGCAUCUAAGAGAGAGGUUAAUCACACUAUGAGGCAUUGUGGUAUUAUUUUUCCUUUUUCUAAUUGUUUAAAUUGAGUUUUAUACCAAUGUUUAAAAUUAAUUGGGUGUUAGCUUGAGGUGGUUAAAAGUUGUUCAGAGAGUUGUAAUGGUUUUGCUGUAAAAAGUGUUUCAAACUCUGCUGAAAUGUUGCUGAAAAGCAUGGUGCUGGUAACAGUUCAACAAUCCGUGGCUGCUCAUUCCUGCCUACUUUUACUCUCCCUCUAAAGCAGGUUAGCAUUGAAGGUGGUAUGGAAAAGCCUGCAUGCGACUGUAUCUUAUACA